GAUGAACGCUGGCGGCGUGCCUAAUACAUGCAAGUCGAGCGAACAGACGAGGAGCUUGCUCCUCUGACGUUAGCGGCGGACGGGUGAGUAACACGUGGAUAACCUACCUAUAAGACUGGGAUAACUUCGGGAAACCGGAGCUAAUACCGGAUAAUAUAUUGAACCGCAUGGUUCAAUAGUGAAAGACGGUUUUGCUGUCACUUAUAGAUGGAUCCGCGCCGCAUUAGCUAGUUGGUAAGGUAACGGCUUACCAAGGCAACGAUGCGUAGCCGACCUGAGAGGGUGGUCGGCCACACUGGAACUGAGACACGGUCCAGACUCCGACGGGAGGCAGCAGUAGAGAAUCUUCCGCAAUGGGCGAGAGCCUGACGGAGCAACGCCGCGGGAGUGAUGAAGGUCUUCGGAUCGUAGAACUCUGUUAUUAGGGAAGAACAAAUGUGUAAGUAACUAUGCACGUCUUGACGGUACCUAAUCAGAAAGCCACGGCUAACUACGUG
rnacentral:rRNA from 1 species